rnacentral:rRNA from 1 species
UACGUAGGGGGCAAGCGUUGUCCGGAUUCAUUGGGCGUAAAGAGCUCGUAGGCGGCUUGGCAAGUCGGGUGUGAAACCUCCAGGCUCAACCUGGAGACGCCACCCGAUACUGCCAUGGCUAGAGUCCGGUAGGGGACCACGGAAUUCCUGGUGUGAAGCGGUGGAAAUGCGCAGAUAUCAGGAGGAACGACCGGUGGCGA